rnacentral:lncRNA from 1 species
UGCACAUACACUUUUCAAAUUAUACAGAGAAAAUAGCAUCCCCAUUUGAUAAAUGAAGAAUAAGCCCAUGGUUAAUUAAUAACUAAUGAAAUCACGUCUACUUCCAGUUCAAUACGAUGCUUCCACCUAAGAAACCCGUCAACGCAGUCAACCAUUCUUCCACACGCUGGCAAACAGUUCAACAUACACCUCUGGACACCAUGUUGCUCAAGUUGAGAGGACAUUACAAGGACAAUUAAAAGGAAUUUACUACAAGAUCUGGGUGACUAAAACUCCCGUUACAAAAGAUGAGCUCAGGGGUGUGUGGAGAAGAGAAAUCCAGCAGGCUGAGCUAAGCAGCCCUGCCUAAGCCACAGUGUGGAGGCAGAGCACUACUUUCUCACCAGCAACCUCUGCUAUAUCUCUGGACCUUAAUGUCCAGGAACUGAGAGUUCAUCUCUCCCAGUCCCAGUAACAAACAGGUCAUUAUAAGAGAAGAGGCAGAAGUAUCUCCACAAAAUUC